UACGAAGGACCCGAGCGUUAUCCGGAUUCAUUGGGUUUAAAGGGUGCGUAGGCGGAAUAGUAAGUCAGUGGUGAAAGCCUGUUGCUUAACAACAGAACUGCCAUUGAUACUGCUAAUCUUGAGUACAUUUGAUGUGGGCGGAAUGUGCCAUGUAGCGGUGAAAUGCUUAGAUAUGGCACAGAACACCGAUCGCGAAGGCAGUUCACAAAACUGUAACUGACGCUGAGGCACGAAAGCGUGGGGAUCAAACAGG
rnacentral:rRNA from 1 species